rnacentral:rRNA from 1 species
UGCAGAAUCCCGUGAACCAUCGAGUCUUUGAACGCAAGUUGCGCCCGAGGGACCCUCCCGAGGGCACGCCUGCCUCAUGGGCGUUAGAAGCCCAUCCACGCUCGGUUGCCUGAGUAACGGCAGAAGAUGCGGAUACUGGCCCUCCGAGCCGCGAGGCGCGGUGGGCCUAAGUGUGCGGCCGUCGUACGUGGCCGGGAGCGGCGAGUGGUGGGCUACUGCGCACGUCACCCCGAGCCCCGUGCCGACGCAGGGCCUUGUUUGAACCCCUAACGAGGAGCAUGCCGCUGCGGCUUCUGCUGCGCGGCGCCUUCGGACCGAUACCCCAGGUCAGGCGGGGCUACCCGCCGAGUUUAAGCAUAUAAAUAAGCGGAGGAGAAGAAACUUACAAGGAUUCCCCUAGUAACGGCGAGCGAACCGGGAGAUG